CAGUCGUGCCGGCGUUGGAUUCAGCUUGCUUCGCGGAGCAGGCGUAUUUCCAUGCAUGGCAGGUCAGCGUCAGUUUUGCGCGGCGUGAAAAGGCCCGGGUAAGGUAGCUCUCUUCGGGGAGUGUUAUAGACCUGGGCAGAUACGCUGCGCGGGACUGAGGAUUGCAGCGGACCACCCCGUGGGGCGCGGCGACCCGAACCCUG
rnacentral:rRNA from 1 species